rnacentral:rRNA from 1 species
GACGAACGCUGGCGGCGUGCUUAACACAUGCAAGUCGAACGAUGAAGCUAGAGCUUGCUCUGGUGAAUUAGUGGCGAACGGGUGAGUAACACGUGAGUAACCUGCCCCAAACUCUGGGAUAACUGCUGGAAACGGUAGCUAAUACUGGAUACGACCUACGAAGUCAUCUUCUGGAUGUGGAAAGAAUUUCGGUUCGGGAUGGACUCGCGACCUAUCAGCUUGGUGGUGAGGUGAUGGCUAACCAAGGCGACGACGGGUAGCCGGCCUGAGAGGGUGACCGGCCACACUGGGACUGAUACACGGCACAGACGCCUACGGGAGGCAGCAGUGGGGAAUAUUGCACAAUGGGCGCAAGCCUGAUGCAGCAACGCCGCGUGAGGGAUGACGGCCUUCGGGUUGUAAACCUCUUUUAGUAGGGAAGAAGCGAAAGUGACGGUACCUGCAGAAAAAGCACCGGCUAACUACGUGCCAGCAGCCGCGGUAA